CAAUAGCGUAUAUUAAAGUUGUUGCAGUUAGAACGCUCGUAGUCGGAUUUCGGGGCGGGGCGACCGGUCUGCCGAUGGGUAUGCACUGGUCGGCGCGUCCUUCCUUCCGGAGACCGUUCCUACUCUUAACUGAGCGGGGGCGGGAGACGGAUCGUUUACUUUGAAAAAAUCAGAGUGUUUCAAGCAGGCAGCUCGCUCUUGCAUGGAUUAGCAUGGGAUAAUGAAAUAGGACUUUGGUGCUAUUUUGUUGGUUUCGAACACCGAAGUAAUGAUUAAAAGGGACAGUCAGGGGCACUCGUAUUCCGCCGAGAGAGGUGAAAUUCUCAGACCAGCGGAAGACGAACCACUGCGAAAGCAUUUGCCAGGGAUGUCUNCACUG
rnacentral:rRNA from 1 species